CCUGCACACAUUCAGUUUGGCUAACGCCGGGAUCAGGAUACACCUCAAAUUCAAAUUCAAUCAGCAGACCAUCCAGCAAGAAUUUAGAGUGAAGAUCAAA